AGUUUGAUUCUGGCUCAGGAUGAACGCUAGCUACAGGCUUAACACAUGCAAGUCGAGGGGCAGCAUGAUCAAAGCUUGCUUUGAUUGAUGGCGACCGGCGCACGGGUGAGUAACGCGUAUCCAACCUUCCCUAUAGUAGAGGAUAGCCCGGCGAAAGUCGGAUUAAUACUCUAUGUUUUCCAAUGCAGACAUCUAAAAAUGGAACAAAGGUUUACCGCUAUAGGAUGGGGAUGCGUCUGAUUAGAUAGUAGGCGGGGUAACGGCCCACCUAGUCGACGAUCAGUAGGGGUUCUGAGAGGAAGGUCCCCCACAUUGGAACUGAGACACGGUCCAAACUCCUACGGGAGGCAGCAGUGAGGAAUAUUGGUCAAUGGGCGAGAGCCUGAACCAGCCAAGUAGCGUGCCAGGAUGACGGCCCUAUGGGUUGUAAACUGCUUUUAUACAGGGAUAAAGUGCGCCACGUGUGGCGUUUUGUAGGUACUGUAUGAAUAAGGACCGGCUAAUUCCGUGCCAGCAGCCGC
rnacentral:rRNA from 1 species